rnacentral:lncRNA from 1 species
UUUUACUUUGUUCUUUUCUCGUCUAAUUAGGUUAGUCCUAUGUGAAUCCAGAGUUAAUUCCAACGUUAACCUCAAGUUAGCUCCAAUUCAAGCAUAGUCAGUCCCAGUCUAUCUCACGGUUUGUUCUGAUUGGCCAUCAAGUUUUCAUUCAGCUAAACAUGUAGCCCCCCGUUUAUUCAAUAGUUCACUACACAGAAUGUCAACUUGUCAACGUCAGUUGGUGUGUCUACAGGUCAAAAUGAUUUACCCAGUGGAUAUACAUAACCGAUUAUAGAACAAAUGCUCUGUUUCCUUUUAUGUUUCAAUGAAGAAACUAAAUCAUUUAUUAAAUGGAUCGUGAAAGGAAUAGUAGAUGUGUUAUUGAAAUAUUCAGAACCUCAGUCAGACUGGAGAGAAUUCUUUUCUUGAAAGACGUUCUGGUGUACAAGACGGCUGCUAUAAAAACGAAGCACGAACCUGAAAGUUUUUAAAAAAAUAACUUGUUUUAUUCGAAAGUAGGGGCUGCAGCAAUAAAAAAUAUAUGUUGUCCGCAUUUUUGUAUAUCUUAAGUAAAUGUAUAAGAUUGCCUAA